rnacentral:rRNA from 1 species
UACGUAGGGUGCAAGCGUUGUCCGGAAUUAUUGGGCGUAAAGAGCUCGUAGGCGGUUUGUCGCGUCUGCUGUGAAAACUGGGGGCUCAACCCCCAGCCUGCAGUGGGUACGGGCAAACUAGAGUGCGGUAGGGGAGAUUGGAAUUCCUGGUGUAGCGGUGGAAUGCGCAGAUAUCAGGAGGAACACCGAUGGCGAAGGCAGCUCGCUGGGACGGUACUGACGCUGAGGCGCGAAAGCGUGGGGAGCAAACAGG